rnacentral:misc_RNA from 1 species
GAUGAAGAACGCAGCAAAAUGCGAUAAGUAGUGUGAAUUGCAGAAUUCCGUGAAUCAUCGAAUCUUUGAACGCACAUUGCGCCCCCUGGUAUUCCGGGGGGCAUGCCUGUCCGAGCGUCAUUGCUGCCCUCAAGCACGGCUUGUGUGUUGGGCCCCGUCCUCCGAUCCCGGGGGACGGGCCCGAAAGGCAGCGGCGGCACCGCGUCCGGUCCUCGAGCGUAUGGGGCUUUGUCACCCGCUCUGUAGGCCCGGCCGGCGCUUGCCGAUCAACCCAAAUUUUUAUCCAGGUUGACCUCGGAUCAGGUAGGGAUACCCGCUGAACUUAAGCAUAUCAAUAAGCGGAGGA